rnacentral:rRNA from 1 species
UGAUGUUCUAACGUUGGCCCCUAAUCGGGGUUGCGGACAGUGUCUGGUGGGUAGUUUGACUGGGGCGGUCUCCUCCUAAAGAGUAACGGAGGAGCACGAAGGUUGGCUAAUCCUGGUCGGACAUCAGGAGGUUAGUGCAAUGGCAUAAGCCAGCUUGACUGCGAGCGUGACGGCGCGAGCAGGUGCGAAAGCAGGUCAUAGUGAUCCGGUGGUUCUGAAUGGAAGGGCCAUCGCUCAACGGAUAAAAGGUACUCCGGGGAUAACAGGCUGAUACCGCCCAAGAGUUCAUAUCGACGGCGGUGUUUGGCACCUCGAUGUCGGCUCAUCACAUCCUGGGGCUGAAGUAGGUCCCAAGGGUAUGGCUGUUCGCCAUUUAAAGUGGUACGCGAGCUGGGUUUAGAACGUCGUGAGACAGUUCGGUCCCUAUCUGCCGUGGGCGCUGGAGAACUGAGGGGGGCUGCUCCUAGUACGAGAGGACCGGAGUGGACGCAUCACUGGUGUUCGGGUUGUCAUGCCAAUGGCACUGCCCGGUAGCUAAAUGCGGAAGAGAUAAGUGCUGAAAGCAUCUAAGCACGAAACUUGCCCCG